GUUUGAUUAUGGCUCAGGAUGAACGCUGGCGGCGUGCCUAACACAUGCAAGUCGAACGAGCGAGGGAUGAAACCUAGUGAUUCCCGAGCGAGUGGCGGACGGGUGAGUAACGCGUGGGCAACCUGCCUUACAGAGGGGGAUAACAGUCUGAAAAGACUGCUAAUACCGCAUAAGCACACAGUACCGCAUGGUACAGGGUGAAAAGAUUUAUCACUGUAAGAUGGACCCGCGUCUGAUUAGCCAGUUGGUGAGGUAACGGCUCACCAAAGCGACGAUCAGUAGCCGACCUGAGAGGGUGAUCGGCCACAUUGGGACUGAGACACGGCCCAAACUCCUACGGGAGGCAGCAGUGGGGGAUAUUGCACAAUGGAGGAAACUCUGAUGCAGCGAACCGCCGCGUGAGUGAAGAAGUAUUUCGGUAUGUAAAGCUCUAUCAGCAGGGAAGAUAAUGACAGUACCUGACCAAGAAGCCCCGGCUAACUACGUGCCAGCAGCUGC
rnacentral:rRNA from 1 species